UUUUUGUUGUGUCCGGAAGCAUUUGUGCCAAGGAUAUCCACUGUAAGCAGUCUUGUGUGUCCCCAUCAAAGUAAGGGAGAAGAAGGAAGGUGUUAGGACAGAUUGAAGAAGUGGAUUGAGCAGGAAACUCACCUGGUAGACAUACUGUGUUUGCAGAUCCGAGGAAGACCUGCCUGACAGCAAUUCCUGGACACCCCAGAUAGAAAAUGGGCCACACCUUCUCGACUGCACUGGAUCCAACUUGCUCCAUUUCAACAGACACUAACGCCAGAGCUUCGGGUACUGACUUCAAUCAAGUUGAGGAUUUCAAGC
rnacentral:lncRNA from 1 species